rnacentral:rRNA from 1 species
UGAGCAAUCUGCCCUUCUCUUCGGAAUAAGCGUGGGAAACCGCGUCUAAUGCCGAAUACGACCUCCUUUCGCAUGAUCGGAGGUGGAAAGCUCCGGCGGAGAAGGAUGAGCUCGCGGCCUAUCAGCUAGUUGGUGUGGGUAAUGGCCCACCAAGGCGACGACGGGUAGCCGGCCUGAGAGGGUGACCGGCCACACUGGGACUGAGACACGGCCCAGAUUCCACGGGAGGNAGCG